rnacentral:rRNA from 1 species
CCUACGGGGUGCAGCAGUGAGGAAUAUUGGUCAAUGGGCGCGAGCCUGAACCAGCAAAGUAGCGUGAAGGAUGACUGCCCUACGGGUUGUAAACUUCUUUUAUAAAGGAAUAAAGUGAGGCACGUGUGCCUUUUUGUAUGUACUUUAUGAAUAAGGAUAGGCUAACUACGUGCCAUCAGCCGCGGUAAUACGGAGGAUCCGAGCGUUAUCCGGAGUUAUUGGGUUUAAAGGGAGCGUAGAUGGUUGGUUAAGUCAGUUGUGAAAGUUUGCGGCUCAACCGUAAAAUUGCAAUUGAUACUGGCAGUCUUGAGUACAGUAGAGGUAGGCGGAAUUCGUGGUGUAGCGGUGAAAUGCUUAGAUAUCACGAAGAACUCCGAUUGCGAAGGCAGCUUACUAAACUGCCACUGACAUUGAUGCUCGAAAGUGUGGGUAUCAAACAGGAUUAGAUACCCGUGUAGUC